AGAUGAAUCUGGGUUUGGCGGAUGCCAAGAGAACCUUACCUGCUGGAAUGCAUAGUUAGUGCCAACUGUAGAGUUGGAUGGAGGAGAAAUAAUGGUUUGGGCUAGGCCCCGUAGUUCCAGUGAAGGGAAAUCUUUAACGUUACAGCAUAAAAUGACAUUCUAGAUAAAUUCUGUGCUUCCAACUUUGUGGCAACAGUUUGGGGAAGGCCUUUCCUGUUCCAGCAUGACAAGUGCACAAAGCGAGGUCCAUACAGAAAUGGUUUGUCGAGAUUGGUGUGGAAGAACUUGACUGGCCUGGACAGAGUCCUGACCUCAACCCCAUCGAACACCUUUGGGAUGAAUUGGAAUGCCAACUGCGAGCAAGGCCUAAUUGUAAAAAUCGGUGAUAAUGUUGCCUCAGCAAGACUUACUUGGCAGCAGGUGCAUUAAUGUGCUUGGAGUAAAGACUGUGUAUUCAAGCACCACAUACGUAGUUCUUGUCUUUUAGCAUCCCAUUAUUUUGCCGUAGGUCAGGGAAGAGGAUACUUAACAGCUAUUACAAAAAGACAAGCAGAGAGACAAACAGACUGUCAACAUAGGCCUGGUCUCUUUUGUGUCAAAAGCAAGAAGAGUGACUCUAUUUCAGUGUGUGUGACACACAUGUUACAUUUACACACUAAGGCAGCAGCCCAACUCACGGUCAUGUAUGUUUAGCCCACAUACCCUCUCUCUAUACAAAUAAACCUGUUUGCAUGUAUUAUAUAUGUCUGAUUCACACAGACCCAAUGCAAUGUUACAAUCCAGAGAACACAGGAUUCCAGUUACAGGGGGAACAGUUACAUAAAUGCAUGAGUGAGAACAUUUUGUUCUGAUUGAGGGUGAGCAAUCUGACACCAGGGAGUUUUACAAAAGAGAAUAGAAGAAGAUAUUGGCUAGAAGUCAGAACUAUUACAGUGUGGGAAAAAAGUAUUUGAUCCCCUGCUGUUUUUGUAUGUUUGCCCACUGACAAAGAAAUUAUCAGUCUAUAAUUUUAAUGGUAGGUUUAUUUGAACAAUGAGAGACUGAACAACAACAAAACAAUCAAGAAAAACGCAUGUCAAAAAUGUUAUAAAUUGAUUUGCAUUUUAAUGAGGGAACUAAGUAUUUGACCCCCUCUCAAUCAGAAAGAUUUCUGGCUCUCAGGUGUCUUUUAUACAGGUAACAAGCUGAGAUUAGGAGCACACUCUUAAAGGGAGUGCUCCUAAUCUCAGUUUGUUACCUGUAUAAAAGACACCUGUCCACAGAAGCAAUCAAUCAAUCAGAUUCCAAACUCUACACCAUGGCCAAGACCAAAGAGCUCUCCAAGGAAGUCAGGUACAAGAUUGUAGAAAAAGCCGGAAAGUAGAGCAUUGCAGUAGUCU
ensembl:lncRNA